rnacentral:SRP_RNA from 1 species
GCCAGGCGUGGUGGCGAGUGCCUGUAGUCCCAGCUACUUGGGAGGCUGAGGCAGGAGGAUCCUUAAGCCCAGGAGUUCUGGGCUGUAGUGUGCUAUGCUGAUUGGGUGUCUACACUAAGUUAGUCAUCAGUAUGGUACCUUCUGGGAGUAGGGGACCACCAGUCACCUAAGGAGAGGUAAACCUGCCCUGGUCAGAAACGGAGCAGGUUAAAACCCCCAUGCUGAUCAGUAGUGGGAUUGCAUCUGUGAAUAGCCAUUGCCCUCCAGCCCGGGCAACAUAGUGAGAUCCUACCUUUA